rnacentral:rRNA from 1 species
CCUACGGGGUGCACCAGUGGGGAAUAUUGCACAAUGGGCGCAAGCCUGAUGCAGCCAUGCCGCGUGUAUGAAGAAGGCCUUCGGGUUGUAAAGUACUUUCAGCGGGGAGGAAGGUGUUGUGGUUAAUAACCACAGCAAUUGACGUUACCCGCAGAAGAAGCACCGGCUAACUCCGUGCCAGCAGCCGCGGUAAUACGGAGGGUGCAAGCGUUAAUCGGAAUUACUGGGCGUAAAGCGCACGCAGGCGGUCUGUCAAGUCGGAUGUGAAAUCCCCGGGCUCAACCUGGGAACUGCAUUCGAAACUGGCAGGCUAGAGUCUUGUAGAGGGGGGUAGAAUUCCAGGUGUAGCGGUGAAAUGCGUAGAGAUCUGGAGGAAUACCAGUGGCGAAGGCGACUUUCUGGUCUGUAACUGACACUGAGGCGCGAAAGCGUGGGGAGCAAACAGGAUUAGAUACCCGUGUAGUC